rnacentral:rRNA from 1 species
UACGAAGGGGGCUAGCGUUGCUCGGAAUCACUGGGCGUAAAGGGUGCGUAGGCGGGUCUUUAAGUCAGGGGUGAAAUCCUGGAGCUCAACUCCAGAACUGCCUUUGAUACUGAAGAUCUUGAGUUCGGGAGAGGUGAGUGGAACUGCGAGUGUAGAGGUGAAAUUCGUAGAUAUUCGCAAGAACACCAGUGGCGAAGGCGGCGACCUGGGCCAAUACUGACGCUGAGGUGCGAAAGCGUGGGGAGCAAACAGG